GUAUUGCGAGGCACCAAUACCUUAUGGGCUCCAUAACAUUAAGGAGUGUUCCAAAAAUAAGUUUACGCCUUUUGAGCAGUGAGCUCUGGAGAAUACACACCUGGGCGGCUACUCUUGACUUGCAUCUGAUCAGUAUAUUGAAAAUGAAUUCAGGCCAAGAAGCACCAAUUAAAAGAAAGCUUUAUUCUUUUUCUGUAGGCAGAUGGUUGAACUCAAUUCAGCGAGGUUCCUCCACUGUUCACCCCAAGGCCAUUCAAAUGUCGGUGAUGCAAUUUGGGGAAACGGUUUCAUAGUUAUGGACGUCACCAAAAGACAUGCACCACAUCAUUGUCAAGAACCUUUAAGGGGACUGCCACAGCAGCCAUUGAGGAGUUGGCUGCCGUGGAGACGGCUGCCGUGUGGGCGGUUGCUGUGCAGGCUGCCGCUGAGCCAGCAGUUGACUGAAGAAAGGCUGCAGUAAAAGUAAUCGAGGCUGCUGCGGAGACCGCUGCUGCGCGGGCUGCUGCGCGGGCUGCUGCUGCGAGGGCGGCUGCUGCGAGGGCUGCGGAGGCUGCUGCUCCGCGGGCUGCUGCCGAGCGGGCUCGGGCUGCUGCUGCUGCGGGCUGCUGCUGAGCGGGCUGCUGCUGCUGCAGAGGGCUGCUGCGAGGGCGGCUGCUGCGCGGGCUGCUGCUGCGCGGGCUGCUGCUGCGCGGGCUGCUGCGGAGACCGCUGCUGCGGAGACCGCUGCUGCGCGGGCGGCUGCGCGGGCUGCUGCUGCGAGGGCGGCUGCUGCGAGGGCUGCGGAGGCUGCUGCUCCGCGGGCUGCUGCCGAGCGGGCUGUGGAGACCGCUGCUGCUGCUCGGGCUGCUGCUGCGCGGGCUGCUGCUGCGCGGGCUGCUGCUGCGCGGGCUGCUGCUGCGCGGGCUGCUGCUGCAGAGACCGCUGCUGCUGCAGAGACCGCUGCUGCUGCAGAGACCGCUGCUGCGCGGGCUGCUGCUGCGCGGGCUGCUGCUGCUGCAGAGACCGCUGCUGCUGCACGGGCGGCUGCAGAGACCGCUGCUGCGCAGGCUGCUGCUGCUUUUGUGAACCCUUUGGUUCCUCCGGCUCUUUGGGCUCCUCGGAUAGAUGUUGAGUCACACAGCUAGGACCCCUCAGCCACCUUGCUAUAGUCCCAAUAAAGGUACAUAGCUUAGGCCCAAUGCUACGAUACUGUUGAGCUUGCUGCGGUUGUAGAAGCUGCUCCAAGGGCAGGUCGCCACGAGGCUGCUGCUGGUCCUCCUGGUAGCCACGAGGCGCCUCCUGCUGCUGCUGGUAGCCACUAGGCUCCUCCUGCUGCUGCUGCUGCUGGUAGCCACUAGGCUCCUCCUGCUGCUGCUGCUGGUAGCCACUAGGCUCCUCCUGCUGCUGCUGCUGGUGGUAGCCAAUAGGCUCCUCCUGCUGCUGGUGGCCACUAUGCUGCUGGAAGCCCCGAGGCUGCUGGUAGCCACUAGGCUCCUCCUGCUGCUGCUGGUAGCCACUAUGCUGCUGGAAGCCCCGAGGCUGCUGGAAGCCACUAGGCUCCUCCUGCUGCUGGUAGCCACGAGGCUGCUGGUAGCCACGAGCCUGCUGCUGCUGCUGGUAGCCACGAGGCUGCUGCUGCUGGUUGGGCAAUGAGCUCUUUUGUGUCUGUGCUGUCAUGAGGGUUUGCUUUUGGUUGGGCAUCCAUGGUUUCUGCUGGGGAGCGGAUCCAGUCUGCUCUUCAUAGGGCUGAUAUAUGGGGGUUUGGACCAGCCCUUGUGCAUAUCCAAGCUUCCCAGCCAACCCAUUCCUGGAAGCUGUUA
ensembl:lncRNA